CGAAAAGCUAUGAACGGACGAAGUAGUCGCUUAUCCCUGUGGAAAAGAGAGCUGGUGGUCGCUGCAAACCAGUACAAAUAAGGCGGACGAAUUACAUCCCGGAGCAUAUUUGCAUUUGCAAACGGUUUUUGCCGUUAUCUUAAUGAAGCGAGGAAGAUUUUUUCCUAAGUUGGGUGGUACCACGUAUAUUUUGCGUCCCUUCG
rnacentral:ncRNA from 1 species